rnacentral:lncRNA from 1 species
AAAAGAAAAUAUGUGCAUCAGAACAUGGGCUCAGAAGCAGAUCAAGGAUGCGUGCUUUGAGAACACAGCUGCUGGGAAACCACAGACCAACACCCCAGGCACUAAACAGUACAGUCCUAUUCCACAGCCUGCUCAGACCCUGCUCCUGCUGUUGUCCAUGUGUGAGACCCAGCCUCGCACUCCCUUGACCAUGACGUGAGUUAUUGACUGCUCAUCACUCUGGGGCCGGUAGGACUCUGCCUGUGGAUAUUUCCUCGUGUUGUCAGGAAAAGACGGUCUUUCCAGGGAAUGGGAAAUGAAGACGGAAAAUAUCCUUGCCUUUCCCAUGUAUUCUUCGAUUUCUAUUUGUUUCAUACACUGGCCUGUGUUGACUUUUCUUUGAGUUCUGUGCUGUUGUCCCUGAAUGGUGGGGUCCUCAGAUGUACUAUCCAUAUUGUAUUCCGGUGCGGGAACAUUUUCCCCAACUGCAAAGGAUUGGGCACCUCUACUAACCAGGUAAAAAAAAAAUUCCUUGCACUUGUUUUGUUUUCCAAAUCCAGAAUAACUCUGUUGAAAACUCUCACUCUCUCUGAUGAAAGGAAAUGUUAUCUUCCUCUUGAGGAAGCUCUGUGAUUUGAGUAGGAAAAACUAACUUUCAGGGCUGCGAUCUGGAAGGCUUCUCACUCAGGAAACUUAUACAAAUUCACUUUCUAUUGUCCUCAAAAGGAUCGUCCAUCCCUGGAUCUGGGACUCUCCCCAUUUCUUGUACUGUUAAUGUUUAUCUGGGGGAAAAUAACAUUUCUUAGGAUCAUAGGCAAAGCUUCCCAUCUCACUUACCAAUCCUGAUCAUUACCUCCUUCAAUCCUUGAUAUCUGCUUCUGUAUGCUUGGGAGGGGAAUAAAAGGAAAGGACCAAGAAAAUGGGGAAGGGAG